rnacentral:rRNA from 2 species
CCAGCGGAUGAAGGGAGCUUGCUCCUGAAUUCAGCGGCGGACGGGUGAGUAAUGCCUAGGAAUCUGCCUGGUAGUGGGGGACAACGUUUCGAAAGGAACGCUAAUACCGCAUACGUCCUACGGGAGAAAGCAGGGGACCUUCGGGCCUUGCGCUAUCAGAUGAGCCUAGGUCGGAUUAGCUAGUUGGUGAGGUAAUGGCUCACCAAGGCGACGAUCCGUAACUGGUCUGAGAGGAUGAUCAGUCACACUGGAACUGAGACACGGUCCAGACUCCUACGGGAGGCAGCAGUGGGGAAUAUUGGACAAUGGGCGAAAGCCUGAUCCAGCCAUGCCGCGUGUGUGAAGAAGGUCUUCGGAUUGUAAAGCACUUUAAGUUGGGAGGAAGGGUUGUAAAUUAAUACUUUGCAAUUUUGACGUUACCGACAGAAUAAGCACCGGCUAACUCUGUGCCAGCAGCCGCGGUAAUACAGAGGGUGCAAGCGUUAAUCGGAAUUACUGGGCGUAAAGCGCGCGUAGGUGGUUCGUUAAGUUGGAUGUGAAAUCCCCGGGCUCAACCUGGGAACUGCAUCCAAAACUGGCGAGCUAGAGUAUGGUAGAGGGUGGUGGAAUUUCCUGUGUAGCGGUGAAAUGCGUAGAUAUAGGAAGGAACACCAGUGGCGAAGGCGACCACCUGGACUGAUACUGACACUGAGGUGCGAAAGCGUGGGGAGCAAACAGGAUUAGAUACCCUGGUAGUCCACGCCGUAAACGAUGUCAACUAGCCGUUGGGAGCCUUGAGCUCUUAGUGGCGCAGCUAACGCAUUAAGUUGACCGCCUGGGGAGUACGGCCGCAAGGUUAAAACUCAAAUGAAUUGACGGGGGCCCGCACAAGCGGUGGAGCAUGUGGUUUAAUUUGAAGCAACGCGAAGAACCUUACCAGGCCUUGACAUCCAAUGAACUUUCCAGAGAUGGAUUGGUGCCUUUGGGAACAUUGAGACAGGUGCUGCAUGGCUGUCGUCAGCUCGUGUUGUGAGAUGUUGGGUUAAGUCCCGUAACGAGCGCAACCCUUGUCCUUAGUUACCAGCACGUAAUGGUGGGCACUCUAAGGAGACUGCCGGUGACAAACCGGAGGAAGGUGGGGAUGACGUCAAGUCAUCAUGGCCCUUACGGCCUGGGCUACACACGUGCUACAAUGGUCGGUACAAAGGGUUGCCAAGCCGCGAGGUGGAGCUAAUCCCAUAAAACCGAUCGUAGUCCGGAUCGCAGUUUGCAACUCGACUGCGUGAAGUCGGAAUCGCUAGUAAUCGCGAAUCAGAAUGUCGCGGUGAAUACGUUCCCGGGCCUUGUACACACCGCCCGUCACACCAUGGGAGUGGGUUGCACCAGAAGUAGCUAGUCUAACCUUCGGGGGGACGGUUACCACGGU